rnacentral:rRNA from 1 species
UACAGAGGUGGCAAGCGUUGUUCAGAAUUACUGGGCGUAAAGGGCGAGUAGGUGGCCAUCUAAGUCAGACGUGAAAUCCCCCGGCUUAACCUGGGAACUGCGUCUGAUACUGGACGGCUUGAGUAUGGGAGAGGAAUGUAGAAUUCCAGGUGUAGCGGUGAAAUGCGUAGAUAUCUGGAGGAAUACCGGUGGCGAAGGCGGCAUUCUGGACCAUUACUGACACUGAAUCGAGAAGUAGGGGAGCAAACGGG